rnacentral:rRNA from 1 species
AUUGAACGCUGGCGGCAGGCCUAGCACAUGCAAGUCGAGCGGAUGAAGGGAGCUUGCUCCUGGAUUCAGCGGCGGACGGGUGAGUAAUGCCUAGGAAUCUGCCUGGUAGUGGGGGAUAACGUCCGGAAACGGGCGCUAAUACCGCAUACGUCCUGAGGGAGAAAGUGGGGGAUCUUCGGACCUCACGCUAUCAGAUGAGCCUAGGUCGGAUUAGCUAGUUGGUGGGGUAAAGGCCUACCAAGGCGACGAUCCGUAACUGGUCUGAGAGGAUGAUCAGUCACACUGGAACUGAGACACGGUCCAGACUCCUACGGGAGGCAGCAGUGGGGAAUAUUGGACAAUGGGCGAAAGCCUGAUCCAGCCAUGCCGCGUGUGUGAAGAAGGUCUUCGGAUUGUAAAGCACUUUAAGUUGUGAGGAAGGGCAGUAAGUUAAUACCUUGCUGUUUUGACGUUACCAACAGAAUAAGCACCGGCUAACUUCGUG